rnacentral:sRNA from 1 species
NCCCUUCUGAAGCUGCAUCCUUGGUUGAAGAGGGCAACCACCCCUGAGAGAGAAAAGGACUGGGUCAAGGGUCUGCAAGUAGUAAUGCUCUCCUGCUAGAACCUCCAGACAAGCUCUCAAAAUAGUCAUCCUGUGAGGGGCAGUUGGUGGCGUUAG